CAAUCACAAUAAACAGAGCAAAGCCAUAAAGAAGACCUUUGAUUGGAGGGAAGACAAAGGAUGUCAAAUGAGGCUGCAAUGUCCCUAAAGAUAUCUGAGGCGUAACCAGAUCCAUUCACUUGUACUGCAACCACUACAGGAGCUGGAGGAAGUACAUACUGGAGAUACAUGAAGAGAAGCAGGAAGAAACCCAAGUAUGCCAGUAGGAGCUAAAGCUCCUGGAGGAGGCCCAGCUCCUCUGACACCUCCUCCAUGAUCUCCUGAGCAGCAUCCUGCAUGGACUGACUGUUGUUUAGAAGCAGG
rnacentral:lncRNA from 1 species